rnacentral:tRNA from 1 species
GGCACGUAACUCAGUGGAUAGAGUAUCAGAUUCCGAUUCUGAAAGUCGUUGGUUCGAAUCCAACUGUGCUCGU